rnacentral:lncRNA from 1 species
CAAUAAUAACAAUAAUAACAAUAAUAAUAAUAAUAAUAAUAAAAUUAAACAACAAAAUAAAUCUAUUGAAAUUAAUAUUGAAGAAAAUAACUUUAAUAAAUAUGGUACUAUUAUAGAUACUGUAACUGAUACAUUUGAUCGUUAUGUUGAUACAAAUGUACCUGUUGUAGCUAAUAAUAAUAUAUUAGAAACAAAAGACAUAAAUUUAAAUAACCCAUUAUUACAAAACAACCUGAACGUUAAUAAUAUUGAUAAUAGUGGUAGCAAUAACAGUAAUAACAUUAAUGAUUAUAAUUAUAAUAAAAAAAAUAGUUCAUUAGAUAUACAUAGUAAAAAUGAAAAAACGAAUAUAAAAUUUAAUAAUAAUAAUGUAAUAAAUAUAAAUACAUGUAUAAAUAAAAAUAUGGAUCUUAUGAAAAGUGAUAUUAUAUUAUACAUUGAUGGAAUUAGUACUACUCAUAUACAAAAAGAAUUCAACAAAUUACAAAUAAGUAAAGAAAGUUCUAACAAUAAUAAUCAUGAAAAUAAUAAUAAUCAGGACAUAAUAUAUUACAAUAAAGAAGAAUAUUAUAAAAAACAAGUUGAACAAUAUCAACAGAUUGGUAUUGAUCAACAGUUUGGUGGUAAUAAUAACAAUAGUAUUAACAAAGACACGGUAUAUAAAAAAACAGACGAUAACAUUAAUAAUACAUUAAAUUGUAAUAUUAGUUUGAAUGAAAAUGUAAAUGUUAAUGAUAAUACAACAGAACAUAUAUCUAAAAAAAAUAUAACAAAUCUUAAUUUAUAUUUUUACACACAACAUAAGAGUGAGUUGAAUAACAUUAAUACUAAUGUGAAUAAUGACAGCUGUAUUAACAAAUCAGUAGAUUAUAAAAAUGAAAGUGUAAUGGGAACAAAAGAAGUGGCAGAAACAGUAACAGAAACAAAAGCAGUAACAGAAACAAAAGCAGUAACAGAANNNNNNNNNNAGAAACAAAAGCAGUAACAGAAACAAAAGCAGUAACAGAAACAAAAGUAGUAACAGAAAAUUAUGUUAAUUUAAAAGAUUUAAACAGCAUCAACAUAGAUAAUUUAUCAUUAAUGCAAAAUGUUCACCUACACAAUAAUAAUAAUAAUAAUAAUAAUAAUAAUAAUAUAAUGCCUGCGAAUAAUACUAUAACUACUAAUGGAACGAAUGUUAUUAAUGACAUGUGUACCCAGGAUAAGUUAGAAGGACACGACACAACGACAGAUAGAGGUAAACCAAACAAAUUUAUACACUUAGAUAAUCAAAUGGAUAUAAAUAAAAUGGAUUUAAAUAAAAAGGAAUACGGACACUGUAUAAAUAAUACAUAUAAUAAUAAUAAUAUUGCAUAUAAUAAUUAUAAUAAUAUUGCAUAUAAUAAUAAUAAUAAUAUUGCAUAUAAUAAUACAUAUAAUAAUAAUAAUAACGAUAUUGAUGAUAGUAUGUAUUUAAACUGCGAUAAUGAUUAUUUUAAAAAAAUGAAACAAAAUAAUCAAAUUAUAAUAGAUGCUAAAGAUAUUGGAAAUAGAAAUAUUAACAACACAUGUGUUAAUGGGAUUAAUGGUAGUAUCAGUAGUAAAAGUAGUAACAACUAUAAACACAAUUUAACUGGUAGUAGCUAUGAGUCUAGCAACUACAACACUAAUAGUAACAAUGACAGUACUAGUAAUCGUAAUUAUUAUAGCUGUCAUGAUAUAUGUGAUCAAGAUAAUGUUUCUGUUGCUACAAUAUGUAAUAACGUAGUAUAUAAUAAAAAUGGUAUUCCUAUAAAUAAUGAAAGAACAAAAAAUGAUACAUUAAAAAAAAAAAAAACUACCACAACUGGUGUAACUUCUAUGACAACUACCACAAAUGCACCUAUAUCUACUACUACUACUACUACUACUACUACUACCACUACUACUACUACUAAUAAUACUACUAAUACUACUUUAUUAGAUGCGAAAAAUUAUAUUGAAGAAUAUUUUCAUAAAACAACACCAGAAAAUUGUCUGAAAAAUACAAAAUAUGAAAAUAUAUCUAACACACAUAACGACUUCGCAAACAACAAAAAAAAUAAUAAUAAUAAUAAUAAUAAUAAUGAUAAUAAUAAUAAUAACAAUAAUGACAUUAUAUCUCAGUUUAAAAAUUAUAAAAGUAAUGGAUAUAACAUAAAUAGCCAUAUUUGUGGGAACAAUAAUAAUGAAAAUUGCAAUAACAAUAUUUGUGGUCAUGAUGUAAAUAGAGAUGGUGUACAUUAUUGUGCUAUAGAUAACAGAAACAAAAAAAAGAGCCAACUAUAUAAAGAGUUACCAUUUAAAGACAUAAAUGAUACAUGUGUGAAUAAUACAAAAGAAUGCAAUACAGAUACAUUAACUGAACACAUGGAAAACGGUAAUGUUAAUGGUAAUGGUUAUAGUUAUGGUAAUGUUAAUGAAGAAAGACAGAAUAAAAAAUAUAUUAUUAAAAAUUUGGGUAAUAAUAAAAGUUAUAAUACUAUGAUGAAUGGACAAAUGGAUGUGUCAUUACCAUUACAAGAUACGUACGGAAUGUGUCAAAACAAUAAUACAUAUAAAGACAUGCACAAUGAAAAUUAUUAUACUAAUAAUGAGAGCAAUAUUACUGUUACUUCUGUUACUUCUGCUGCUACUACUAAUGUUACUUCAGCUGAUACUACUGUCAUUUCAGCAUGUAAUAAUGACAAUAUUUAUAAUAUUAACAACCAGGUAUCGCCAACACGUAAUAUACGCUCAGGUAACGGGAAAGAACAAAACAAUGGUAUUAAAAAAACAUAUUAUUUAUUACAACCACCAAAAAAUAAUAUUAUAAAAGAUACAAAGAGUCAAAUGUUAAUGAUUUCAAAACAAAAAAUAAAAAAAAUAUGGAAUAAAUUUAAAAACUCAGCAUCUAAAGAACAAAGUAGUGUUCCAUCAUUCGAAAAUGAAAAAAGUUUAUUUCCUGAUACAGAAAGUGGUAACAAUAAUAAUAAUAAUAAUAAUAAUAAUAAUAAUAAUAAUAAUAAUAANNNNNNNNNNAAUAAUAAUAAUAAUAAUAAUAAUAAUAAUAAUAAUAAUAAUAAUAAUAAUAAUAGCAAGAAUAACAACAACAAUAACAAUAACAAUAACAACAAUGGACGAACGCAAAAAAAAAUGCAAGAUAUUAAUGACCCUAAUUAUAUUAUAAGUUCUACUGGUGGUACAAGUAAUAUAAGUGUAGGAAAUAAUUACAUUAACAAUGGGUACGUAAAUAAUAACUACAUGAAUAAUACCGUGCGUACAAACAAUAAUUACAUAAACUAUAAUAAAAUAAAUUAUAAUAAAAUGAAUUACAACAAAAUGAAUUAUAAUAAAGUGAACAUGCAUGUAAACAACAACAACAACAAUAACAACAACAUUAACAACAACAUUAACAACAACAACAUUAACAACANNNNNNNNNNCAACAACAUUAACAACAACAUUAACAACAACAACAUUAACAACAACAACAACAAUAACAACAACAACAUUAACAACAAUAAUAACAGUGGUAUUACAAACAUGAAUAGUAGUAAUAUAAUUAGUAGUGGUGGUAAUAUGAAUUUUCACCAUAUUCAUAAAUGUAAUAAUAACAACAAAAAAAACCCAAAUUAUUAUAUUUAUAACAAUGAUAAAACAUAUAUAUAUAACAAUAACAGCAAUAACAAUAAUAAUAUAUUUAAAGAUUGUAUUAAUACACCUUAUGGAUUGGUAAAUAAUAACAAUAAUGUUAAUAAUAAUAUAAAAUCGAAACAUAUAUUCAAUUGGAAAUUAGGUAAAAAAGCAUUAUUCAAAAUGUUAUAUAAUGCUAAUAAUUAUUAUUUUAAUGGAGUUAAAUAUUCAGAUUGGAAAUUAACGUGUAUACCUACACUUGGUUUUUCAAAAUCAAGUAAUCGAGUACAACAAAUGUUUAAAGCAGUAGUACCAUCCAAAGAUGGGAAUCAUACUAAAGAUAUAAAAUUAUUUAUUAAAAAAAUACCUAUAUAUAUAUGGAUUAAACAAUUUAAUUUAAUGGAUAAAUAUGAUGGUGAAUAUGUUACUGAUGGUGAAAAUUUUGUUAUGGAAGCAACUUCUUUAGCAUUUUUGAAUGAAUACCAUACUGAAAUAACACCAAAACUUUAUAAAAUUUUAUACGAGUUUGAAAGUGUAGGUAAUAGUAAUUAUAGUAAUAGUAUUAGUAGUAGUGUAAGUUAUAAUAGUUGUAGUUGUGACAGUAAUAGUGGUAGUAGUAAUAGUAAAAAAUAUAAAAAAGGAGUUAAUAUUUAUGAAAGUAGUACGAUUGUUUCUGGUACUGACAUAAAUACUGGGUUAGAUAUAAAUACUACAAGUACUACAUCUGUUACAACUGCUACAGCUGUUACAAGUACUACAGCUGCUACAACUGCUACAACAAAUGUGUAUCCUAAUAAUACAUGUUAUAAUGACAUAUUUCAUAGCAGUUGCAACAGUAACUCGUGUGUUUCUAGUUCUAGUAGUAGUUGUAACAAUAUAUGUGGUGGUAAUUCCUUUUUAAAUUAUAUAGCUUCCAAUUUAAUGCUUAAUAAUAACAAUAAUAAUAAUAAUAAUUUGUUUGGUAAUAAAACAAAAAAUAAUAACAUAAGUAAUGGAAAUAUUAUGAACAUGAACGGUAAUAUUGUCAUCGUUUCUGAGUUUUUUAGUGAAGACAUUUUAGAUUUUAUUGAUAGAAGACAAAAAAAAAAUAACACAAAAAUAAGUAAUAACGAAAAAAGUUUUAUUUUAUACCAAUGUUUAAAAUUGUUAAUAAAGUUACAUGAUGCUGGUUUAUCUCAUUUAGAUUUAACUCCAGAAAAUAUAUUAAUAUCGGAAAAUUACGAAAUGCGUUUAUGUGAUUUAUCUAAAAGUACACCUAUUUAUACAUAUAACUUACGACAUAUAAAAAAAUCUAACCAGCUGUAUUUAUUUGAAUCUUGUGAACCUACAAUUGCUAAAGGAGCAUAUAUGCCACCUGAGUGUUGGAAAAUAUAUUGGAAAUAUGACACUAUGAAAAUAAAAAGCCCACUAAAAGAUUUAAAAACUAUUACAGAUCAAGAAAAAAGGAAACAAUUUUAUUUUGACGUUUCUUGUGCUGAUAAAUAUAUGCUUGGAGUAUUUUUCUUUUGGAUAUGGACAAAUGGAAAUUUAUGGAAAUGCUCCGACCCGUUACAAGAUGAAGAUUUUUUUUAUUUUGUUAAGUGUGAUAUGAAUUUUGAUAAAUUUGAGUUGACUCGAAAAUGGCCCGACGAGCUUAAAAAUAUUAUUAAGGUAAGUUGGGGAGGGAAAAAAAAAAAAAAAAAAAAAAAAAAAUAGGGCCACCACACGUGUAUAUAUAUAUGUGUGUAUAUGUGCGCCUGUACAUGUUCAUGAUUUUUUUUUUUUUUUUUUUUUUUUUUUUUUUAUUUUUACACUUAUUUAUUUGUUGACAUAUAUUUUAUUUGUUUCUUCUAUUUUCUCUAUAGGAAUUACUGCACAGCGAAAAGAGGAAAAAACUAAACUUAAGAGACUUAAUUAUACACCCAUGGUG